CAGCCGCCGCGGUAAUACGUAGGGUGCGAGCGUUAAUCGGAUUUACUGGGCGUAAAGCGUGCGCAGGCGGCCCGUUAAGACAGGUGUGAAAUCCCUGGGCUCAACCUAGGAAUUGCGCUUGUGACUGGCGGGCUCGAGUACGGUAGAGGGGGGUGGAAUUCCUGGUGUAGCAGUGAAAUGCGUAGAGCUCAGGAGGAACACCGAUGGCGAAGGCAGCCCCCUGGGCCUGUACUGACGCUCAUGCACGAAAGCGUGGGGAGCAAACAGGAUUAGAUACCCUGGUAGUCCACGCCCUAAACGAUGGGUACUAGCCGUUUGGUGCGCGAGAGCGCUGAGUGGCGAAGCUAACGCGUGAAGUACCCCGCCUGGGGAGUACGGCCGCAAGGUUGAAACUUAAAGGAAUUGGCGGG
rnacentral:rRNA from 1 species